UGGGGAAUUUUGGACAAUGGGCGAAAGCCUGAUCCAGCAAUGCCGCGUGUGUGAAGAAGGCCUUCGGGUUGUAAAGCACUUUUGUCCGGAAAGAAAUCCUUGGCUCUAAUACAGUCGGGGGAUGACGGUACCGGAAGAAUAAGCACCGGCUAACUACGUGCCAGCAGCCGCGGUAAUACGUAGGGUGCAAGCGUUAAUCGGAAUUACUGGGCGUAAAGCGUGCGCAGGCGGUUUGCUAAGACCGAUGUGAAAUCCCCGGGCUCAACCUGGGAACUGCAUUGGUGACUGGCAGGCUAGAGUAUGGCAGAGGGGGGUAGAAUUCCACGUGUAGCAGUGAAAUGCGUAGAGAUGUGGAGGAAUACCGAUGGCGAAGGCAGCCCCCUGGGCCAAUACUGACGCUCAUGCACGAAAGCGUGGGGAGCAAACAGGAUUAGAUACCCUGGUAGUCCACGCCCUAAACGAUGUCAACUAGUUGUGGGGAUUCAUUCCUUAGUAACGUAGCUAACGCGUGAAGUUGACCGCCUGGGGAGUACGGUCGCAAGAUUAAAACUUAAAUGAAUUGACGGGG
rnacentral:rRNA from 1 species